UCAUGGCUCAGAUUGAACGCUGGCGGCAGGCUUAACACAUGCAAGUCGAACGAUGAAACUCUAGCUUGCUAGAGAUGAUUAGUGGCGGACGGGUGAGUAACAUUUAGGAAUCUGCCUAGUAGUGGGGGAUAGCUCGGGGAAACUCGAAUUAAUACCGCAUACGACCUACGGGUGAAAGGGGGCGCAAGCUCUUGCUAUUAGAUGAGCCUAAAUCAGAUUAGCUAGUUGGUGGGGUAAAGGCCCACCAAGGCGACGAUCUGUAACUGGUCUGAGAGGAUGAUCAGUCACACCGGAACUGAGACACGGUCCGGACUCCUACGGGAGGCAGCAGUGGGGAAUAUUGGACAAUGGGGGCAACCCUGAUCCAGCCAUGCCGCGUGUGUGAAGAAGGCCUUUUGGUUGUAAAGCACUUUAAGCAGGGAGGAGAGGCUAAUGGUUAAUACCCAUUAGAUUAGACGUUACCUGCAGAAUAAGCACCGGCUAACUCUGUGCCAGCAGCCGCGGUAAUACAGAGGGUGCGAGCGUUAAUCGGAAUUACUGGGCGUAAAGCGAGUGUAGGUGGCUCAUUAAGUCACAUGUGAAAUCCCCGGGCUUAACCUGGGAACUGCAUGUGAUACUGGUGGUGCUAGAAUAUGUGAGAGGGAAGUAGAAUUCCAGGUGUAGCGGUGAAAUGCGUAGAGAUCUGGAGGAAUACCGAUGGCGAAGGCAGC
rnacentral:rRNA from 1 species